AGCGAAGUCAUCCGACGGAGAAGGGAAAUUAUCGUCGCAUAAAGGGGUCUCAAAGCCUAAGAGUUCCCUAAGAUAAUUAUUUAAUCAGCUUAAGUCGCUGGGAGCGGAGUUAGGACUAAGAGAGGGCAAAAGAGUCAAAAAGAACUCGAGAUGUAACACCUGCCCAAAUUACACAUAAUAUUUAUAUUCCCUCUUCAUCAUCUUCGUUAUCUCCCGUCUGCGAGCGCAACUUAGCGAAGUUCAGCUUGGCAGGCAGUUUUUCGGCGCGCUGAUCUAGUUUAGACGUUUCGGUCCACGCUCGGACAAAAAUUUAAUUUAACUCGUCGAACAACAAUGCGGAAUAAUUGUUAAGUCGCCGCACGGAAUGUAAGGCAGUUCGGAAAGCCAAAGAUCGGUCGGAAUUCGCUGAAAGUGGAUAGUUUAUAAGCUAUUUCAUAAGUUUUUUUCCUUUUUUUUUUGCGGUCUAGGUUAUGUGAAAUAAGCAGUGAGAGUGGAAAAGUAAGAAAAAAAAAGAAGGGAAAGAAGAGAAAAGUGCAGUGAUGGUUAGAAGGCCAGAAAGGCUUUAAUAAUGAAUAACUAGAAGCACGAAUUGCUUUAGGCAUAAUUUAUUUUAAUUUUUUUUGGGUGGACAAACAAGCCAAUGUGUUAAAAAAAAAAAAAAAGAAGGAAAGAGCUGCAGCAAGAAAAAGAAGAGAAAAAUUUUGCUGUUGUUUUGCACAGUGGGCUUGCAAUGUGUAUAUAAAGAAAUUUAAAUUUUCAGCCUAAGGUGCACUUACGGAAGCGCUUUCGUCGGUGGAUCUCCGGAAUGUUGGAUGAGUCCCCGCUAGAACCCGAAUCAGUAGAAGGGGCCGUUCGAUAGUAUGAUGGGAAGUUUUUGGUAAAGAACGGCCAAGGCAGGGAGGGCAAAUUUGGUUCCAUUAGAACACCCGAGGAACUUUAGGAAUUCCAUGAGUAAAAUAACUAUCCCUCUUCGUGCUGGCGCGGAUUCACAUGAUUUCUCCUACCCCAUACCACUUGUCGCUGCACGCGAAAAUUCGAUAAAAUUUUAGAAUUUACUGGCUCGUGACGAAGGACAAGAUCACCACCCCAAAUAGCCGACAAGGAGCAGCUGGACCAUCGCGCGUGCGUCCUUAUCGUCAGGCAACAACACCCUAGCCACGUACUCGUUACAGUAAUAAUAAUAUAAUUCUAUUUAUCUGGCGCCCAACGUGGGGCCGAAAAUCAGGGUUUAAGAUGUGAAAAAAUGAAAAACAAAAUUUUACUCUAAGAAUCCCGCUCACACAAGAAAAAAAACUUUAAUUUUCAUCUAGUUGGUAAUGCAGUAUCACAGUGGGUUGAAAGAUGUGUUUACAUCCCAGCCACGGUUGCUGCGGUACUCAUGCCAAAUAUCUCGUCUCUAGUCUUACCUUAAUUUCGAUAUUAGGCGCAUAGGACAUAUAGUUGAAUAUGUUGUACGCAAGCGUUCAACUAGCCACGGCUGAUGUUGAAAGUAAGAGUGGGGCAAAUCUAUUCUAUUUACUUUUUUUCGGGACCUAAAGCAAGGGUUAAUUAGACGCUUGGACAUGCAGGUGGUAAACUUAUCAAUAAGUUUUCACCUGACCACGGAUAAUGGGCCGGCGCUAAGGACCCAUCUAUCAAAUUUCAUGCAAUCGCCAUCGCGUCUGUCAGGUGCAUUGGAUAGACAGCCGAAAUCUUUAGAAAGAGGUCGACUGGCCACGGUUGACAGCGGAAAACGUAGGCCAGAUUGCAAAACAAGAGAGAAUUGGAAGAGAACCGAUCAGCUCUCUUAUAGUUGUUGUUUUAGUGAAUCUGAGUUUGGCAAUAGUCGAAGGGCUAGCCACGUAGCUCUGCAUAGGCAGCAAUUAUAUUAUUUUUUUCAUCUUCUUUUACUCACGGAUUCCGAGUUAAACUGCUGAUGAGGGUUUGGCAGGGAGAACUCCUAUGUUUGAAGGCAAACUGUUUAUAUAUUUCUAUCGUGUUUUUGAUUUUUCUUACAAUUUUUUUUAAGCUUACUUAAUACUUGAACUCUCUCAUUUAUUUGUUCCUUUCCUCUCAUUUCUGACUUAGACCCGAGUUUCUCUUGAGUGAUUUUAAAAAUUGAGUGUCUUUAAGAAUUGAGCGUAGAAAAUAAAACAAAUCAGCUGGUCCGCUUGUUAAGGUCAUUGACCGCAGGUGUAGAAAAAAAUAAAAGCAAGGAAGGAAUGAUUAAAUGUUAGGGAUUUUAGCCGAAUAUAAUUAGUAACUUUAACUUACUCGUUCAUUUAGCUGUAAAUUAAAAACAUAUUUUUAGGAUUUUAGGUUUCUUAUCUUUCUCAUUGGUUGAAGAUCAGAAAAAAAAGGCCAAACAAUGAGCGAUGCCGAUAAGGUAGAGACUCCAACGGGGUCUAAAUGCAAAUUGUGCGAGAAAGACUUGGCGAUCUCCACAACUUACAAAACGAAAUGCGGUCAUGACUUCCAUAAGACUUGCAUAACUAGUCAUUCGAAGACUCAUAGAGAAUGUCCGAUUUGCGGAAUCAUUUGUUUUCAACUCCCACCGAGUGGUAAAACGAUUGUCAAUUCGCCAGCCCCCUCUGGGAAAACCGGCGAAAAUCGCGCUGAGGUAGACAUAGGGAAUUUAGUGACUCAAGCGGUCCAGGGGAUGAAAAAUGAUUUACUCACUCAACUUUCUCAGCAAAUGGCUCAGAUUAUACAAGCUAAUAUUGCUGCAUUGGUUCCUGGAAAUCCCUUAGCACCCCCAAACCCAAGCACAAACACCAACUGGACGGAUCAAGAGAGACAGCCAGUCGAAAAUUUUGAUCAAUUCCGGAGUGAGUCCAGAUUUACUCCUGUCAGCGUAGAAUCCGAUGCCAUUUAUAGACCAGAUAGGGUGGGCCAAAUAUUAAAUAGUUGGAAAAUUCGUUUCAAUGGCAGUCUUGAUGGCAUAAGCGUGGACAAUUUUAUAUAUCGAGUUGAGGCGUUAACAGAGCAAACAUUAAAUUCAAAGUUUGAAAUUUUAGCUAGCAACGCUAGCCUGUUGUUUGAUGGUAAAGCUCGCGAUUUCUAUUGGCGAUAUCAUAAAUCUUGCAAUGGAGAGGGGCUCGAUUGGAAAGCUCUCUGCCAAGCUCUUCGAAAACAAUUUAGGGAUACCCGCUCCGAUGUCGAUAUCCGUGAAGCAAUUCGGGAUAGAAAACAAAAAGAGAAGGAAAAUUUUGAUACUUUUCAUGAUGCCAUUGUCUCAUUAACGGAUGGGUUAGAAGUGCCGCUCUCGGAAAAGUCCGUGGCAGAAAUACUAGCUAGAAAUUUGCGCCCUGAAAUACGACAUGAACUCCUUCAUAUCCAAAUUAAUUCGAUGGGGCAAUUGAGAGAAAUUUGUAGGCGAAGGGAAACUUUUCUGGAGGAUGUGAGGCGGAAUUAUGCAUAUACAAAGGCAACUCCUUACCGGAAGCAAGUUGCUGAACUGCUUGAAGAUCAGUUGCCAGAUGAAGCCGCCGAAUUUUCCGACAUCGAAAGCGAAGUGGAAGUGGGAGCUUUGGCGUUGAUUUGUUGGAAUUGCCACAAAGAAGGGCAUCGUUACCAAGAUUGUGAAGGGAAGCGUAGAAUUUUCUGCUAUAGUUGUGGAAAGCCGAACACUUACAAACCUUCGUGUAGUAAGUGUCAAAAAAACUCGAAGGGGUACACACAGCCUCGUCAGCAGCCGUGUGUUCAACGCCACCGCCCGACGAAUUCCGAGGCAGAACAAUAGACAUUGAAAAUACUUCUGUAGAAAUAGAAAAUCCCAAAUCUUCAGUACCAAAUUAUGUUCAAAAAUCUUUUUGGUCGAAGAAAUUAAAUUUACAAAUAAAUUCAUCUAAAAUACGAGGUAUCUUAAGGCCAUGGCACGCCAGAAGGUGGGAAAUGCUUACUAUGAUCUGGAAGACUUGCAGGGACGAUUAAUGGGUAGAUAUCAUGCUAAGGAUAUGAAACAGUAAGGUAGCUGCCUCAAGCUCAGUUUUGGUCAGCCUUGUGUGUGUCACCCCCAAGUCUGAUCUUGUGAGGGGGGAAUUUGUAACGCUUGUGGCAGGCACAUCGAUGGGCAGUGCCAUCUAUGAGGCAAAAACCGAAAGUGUCGCCAUCUAGUGGUCAGUUGGGUGCCGCGAUUGGGGUAAGAAUUUUCGGAGACGAAGAGGCAACAGCGUCAAUUGUCAUGAUCCCGGAAAACGGAGAGUUAUUCUAGGGGGGCUAACUUAGCUUCCCGCCCAGAGCCACGAGCUGCUGGCUUUCUUUCCCUUUUCGGCAGCCAUCGAGUGCGGUUUAGUUCAAUUGUAAGUCUCGUAUUUAAUAAGUUGGUGAAAGUUUGUUUGAAAAUUAUAUCUCUAUAGUGGCCUUGUGUAAAGUGACGGAUAGAAUUCCCAGAUUAUAUAUAGCGCUGAAUCCUGUUUAUGGGUAAGAAAAAAUGAAAUGGUUGCGAAGUUUGCAGACCCAAAAGUGAUUUUUGAUUUAGGUUUGGCGCUUAGUAUCCGAUAUUGGAUCCGGCCGUUGCUGUAGAGGGAACAAUUCAUCAAGUCCCCCUAAAGAAGAGCGAAGUCAUCCGACGGAGAAGGGAAAUUAUCGUCGCAUAAAGGGGUCUCAAAGCCUAAGAGUUCCCUAAGAUAAUUAUUUAAUCAGCUUAAGUCGCUGGGAGCGGAGUUAGGACUAAGAGAGGGCAAAAGAGUCAAAAAGAACUCGAGAUGUAACACCUGCCCAAAUUACACAUAAUAUUUAUAUUCCCUCUUCAUCAUCUUCGUUAUCUCCCGUCUGCGAGCGCAACUUAGCGAAGUUCAGCUUGGCAGGCAGUUUUUCGGCGCGCUGAUCUAGUUUAGACGUUUCGGUCCACGCUCGGACAAAAAUUUAAUUUAACUCGUCGAACAACAAUGCGGAAUAAUUGUUAAGUCGCCGCACGGAAUGUAAGGCAGUUCGGAAAGCCAAAGAUCGGUCGGAAUUCGCUGAAAGUGGAUAGUUUAUAAGCUAUUUCAUAAGUUUUUUUCCUUUUUUUUUUGCGGUCUAGGUUAUGUGAAAUAAGCAGUGAGAGUGGAAAACCUAAGGUGCACUUACGGAAGCGCUUUCGUCGGUGGAUCUCCGGAAUGUUGGAUGAGUCCCCGCUAGAACCCGAAUCAGUAGAAGGGGCCGUUCGAUAGUAUGAUGGGAAGUUUUUGGUAAAGAACGGCCAAGGCAGGGAGGGCAAAUUUGGUUCCAUUAGAACACCCGAGGAACUUUAGGAAUUCCAUGAGUAAAAUAACUAUCCCUCUUCGUGCUGGCGCGGAUUCACAUGAUUUCUCCUACCCCAUACCACUUGUCGCUGCACGCGAAAAUUCGAUAAAAUUUUAGAAUUUACUGGCUCGUGACGAAGGACAAGAUCACCACCCCAAAUAGCCGACAAGGAGCAGCUGGACCAUCGCGCGUGCGUCCUUAUCGUCAGGCAACAACACCCUAGCCACGUACUCGUUACAAGUGCCAAUUACGGCAUUAAUAAAUCAUUCAGAAUAAAUAAUAAUUUAAGUUAAGUAAUAUUGAGUUUAAUUGGAUAAAAGCUUUCAAAUUUAAUUUGAGCGAAACCAGCAGUUUGGGCACUUGCCGAGUAAUGGAAAAAUAUUUCCCUCCCUUGAAAAAGUGAUAAAUGCGACAUUAAUAAAUCCUUCAAAAGCUUACAGCAGGACAGACAAUAAAUAAGGCAGCAUUUAAAUAUCGAAUUUAGUUGGAUUAAGUUUUUAAUUUAGGGCAGUUGGAAAAAAGUAUUGAAAAAAGAAAUAUAUAAAAACAAACAGACAAACAAUUAAUCAGGAAUGAAAUAAAUCAUUUAAAAUAUCCUUAUCUGGCUUUCUGGCAAAGAAUUUGAGUAAAAAAAUAAUAAUACAAAAUAAUAAAAAACAAGUAAAACGACCAAAUACAAUUAUUAUUUUUACUAUUUAAGUAAACUUAAAUGACAUGUAAGAGGCUAACCAUACUAUACUUUUUACUGUAUUUUUAUAAUCUCUUAGUUAAACACUUAAUUAACUAGAAAAAAUUGAAUUUUUCAAUUUUGUUAUUUGAAUAGGUAUUUAUACUAAUAAGUACCCAUUAAUUUUGGAAGGUGAAUAAUUUAAAGGGACAUAAAAUCAUAUCAUAUGCAAUUUAAUUGGCUGUAAAAUGAGUUCUUACCAUUCGUUAUUCUUUUAAUUCUCAAUGGCUAACCACCUUUAGAACAUCGUGGCCACAAUAAAAUAUUUUAUACCAUUUUAAAAUAAUAUCGACUAACUGUGUGCUUUGAAAUAAAAAGUCUGGUUAACAAUGCUUAGAACAAUAAAGUAAAGUAAGUAAAAUAAAAUUCAAGGCACCUUUGAGGCGCCAUCUGAUGAUGGCACACUUUCGGGGCAGAGUGAGUCUUGGAUGCAGCAGAAAGUGCUGCAGUGGUUCCAUUUCAAAUUGCAGUUAGCCACAUACACACACCCAGACUCACACACUCAAGCCUAGGUAAUGUCGACGGGGGUGGGCGGUGGGUGGUUAAUCAAGAGCGCCAUUUAAGACGGCCGUCGAUGGUCGAAAGCAACCGCCACUCGAAUUGGAGUAAAAUAGAAAAUUAACUAGUUUGCUGGAGCUGCGGCGGCUGGUGGAAGAAAUUUCACUUUAAUUUUGCUUUUUAUUUAUGUGUUUGUUUGUGCCUCCAGCGGGCAUCUCGCAUAAUGUAUCUGCAGUUUUGUAUGCCAAUCCGAUCGCCGACAGUUGCACAGAGAGUCUCACACUCGCACUAGCACUCGCACUCGAGAGUUUCAUUGGCAUUAUGUCGCUUUAAUUUGCAGCACUCGAAAAUUGCCACACGUCGUAGCGGCUGCUUCUCGUCUCAUCGUCUCAUGGCCUCAUCGCCUCAUCGCUCCAUCCAUCGUCCAGCCAAUGUUCAGCCAUCGUUUGCCGGUAAUUUACGCAUUAGACAAGUGCCCCGAAAGAAAGCUGCGCCGCAGAUUUGCAUGCUGCCCGAAACAACCUCAUAGAAAAUAAAACACCACACUCGCAUCUAGAUGCAAAGCCACUCGACAUUUUGUAGACGACUAUCCAAAGCGGCAACAUGAGCCCAAAAUCCGUUGAUGGAAUAUGUAAAUGACCUGCACGUGGACAUGAUGGAUGUGACCGCCACUGUCACGAAGCGAUACCCUUUCAAAAAGAACCAAUAACUUACUUUAACAACUUCAAAUUAAAUGUUUUAAGACCUGAACCUUUUCCUUUAAAAUGAUUUUCAAUUUAUAGUAAACAUAUUUUAAGUCCUAUUUUAUAUUGAGAGCAUUUAAUUUUCCGGUUUAGUUGUGCUAUUUUUUUUAAUAUUAAAUGUUCCAUUGAAA